UAUUUCUUCACUCUCUCUCUCUCUCUAACAUUCCUUCUCUUUAAUCUCUCUCUUACUCUUUCACCGUCUCCCGACCCUAACCACCAUGGCCUGGCCUUCGGCCUCCCUCAAACUACUUUGGACAUCAUACCAACACCCCCCAAACCCAUAUUCCGAUGAAUGUUCAUCACGACAUUCAUCACCCCAAGAACCCUAACCCAAUUUGUUCAAUCAUGAACCCAGAAACACUCAAAAUCCAUGAACCCUGGAAAUAAUCAAGAAUCCUAACCCUCCUUUUUAUGAACCCCAAGGUUCAUCACUGAAUCCUAACCCUAAAAGGGAAGAAACCUAACCCUAAACAUUACCCAAAAACCCCAAAACACACAUCAAAAAUAUGGAUUGAACAUCUACAUCAAUAGAUCCUAAUAUGCAUCACAAAACCCUAAUCCCUUUUUAUCCUGAACCGCAUUCAACAUAUCAAGCAUAGACAAAAAACGCAAACAUCUAAUAAUGUCAAAAUAAAGUUUAAAGAGAGAAAAAACCAACCCUCAGAGACGUGGCUUUCUCUAGUAAGGUCCCAAUGGAAUGGAGGUCAAGUUCAAGUACGAAUAUGGUUUGACGCUAACCCUAAUCAACCAGAUUUUGGAGCUCUUGUGAGGAUUACAGAUUAUUGCUUCUAUGGAUUCCAGAAUUCUUCCUAGGGUCCUCUUUUAUGUUUUAGCAUUUAGGUUUUUAUAAAUUAAGGCUUAUGCUUAACAUUUAAUUUGAUUGAUUAGUUUAAAGAAUUUUAGGAUUUAAUUGUAAUUAGAUUGGUUGUAAAUUGAUCAAUUUUUUAUUUUGUCCAAAAGUAGAUUCUAGGGUUUUCAAAUUUUAUGAUGUAUUUGGUCCAUUUUUAAUUGUAAUUUGUAAUUAUAAUGUAUUUGAAUCCCUAAACAGAGAAAUUUGAUUGAAAUUGAAA